rnacentral:rRNA from 1 species
GAUGAACGCUGGCGGCGUGCUUAACACAUGCAAGUCGAACGGGAUCCAAGGGGUGCUUGCACUUUUUGGUGAGAGUGGCGAACGGGUGAGUAACACGUGAGUAACCUGUCCUUUUCUUUGGGUAAGCAUUCGAAAAGGUGGUUAAUACCCUAUUUUCUGUCUGCCUCCCCUGGGGUGGGGGGGAAAGGGUUUGGCCGGAUUUGGGUGGGCUCGCGGUCUAUCAGCUUGUUGGUGGGGUGAUGGCUUACCAAGGCUUUGACGGGUAGCCGGCCUGAGAGGGUGGUCAGUCACAUUGGGACUGAGAUACGGCCCAGACUCCUGCGGGAGGCAGCAGUGGGGGAUAUUGCACAAUGGGCGAAAGCCUGAUGCAGCGACGCCGCGUGGGGGAUGAAGGCCUUCGGGUUGUAAACUUCUUUUGCUCUGAACAAGGCAUGCCAGUGGGUGUGUUGAGUGUAGGGGUUGAUUAGCGCCGGCUAACUACGUG